CGAACGGGUGAGUAACGCGUGAGGAACCUGCCUCAAAGAGGGGGACAACAGUUGGAAACGACUGCUAAUACCGCAUAAGCCCACAGGUCGGCAUCGACCAGAGGGAAAAGGAGCAAUCCGCUUUGAGAUGGCCUCGCGUCCGAUUAGCUAGUUGGUGAGGUAACGGCCCACCAAGGCAACGAUCGGUAGCCGGACUGAGAGGUUGAACGGCCACAUUGGGACUGAGACACGGCCCAG
rnacentral:rRNA from 1 species